AACAGGACAGAGAGGGCGAAGAUCAGGACUGGACUAAGCAGGAUGAAGAGGGCGAUGACAGGAACAGACUGGACUGUGUCCUUCCCCUACACAGUUUGCUCUAGCACGCAGGUGCAUGGAGACUGAGCAUUUGCUGUAACGGUAUGACCCAGAUAAGAUAAAAUAAAGGGCUCAGUUCACUGAGCGUUAACCAUCCUGAUAGACUGAUUGAGUACAAUGUGAGCGGAUUACCUUGUGGAUUUGGCAGCCCACAAUAUAUACAGACAUAAUCUAGAUUUAUUUCUCGAGCCUGCUAAAUCAUAUUUGAUCCACAUACAGCAUAUCGACUGAUUGUGCUCUACAACGAUCCGAUAAUAAAUGUUCUCCUACGCAGAGGAGAGUGCAAGCAUCUCGUUCAGACACAUCUCAAGAUAAAACAAAAGUUUCCAUCAUUGUUGCUGUACAUAUUCAUAUUUUUGAUGCAUGUGUUGCAAAGUCAUAAAUUGCAUGCCAAUAAAAGCAAAACUAAUAAACUUUAUAAAACGU